rnacentral:tRNA from 1 species
GCCCGCCUGACCCUAUGAUCGGUUUUGUAAACCGAAGGUCACGGGUUCGAUCCCUGUAGCCGGCA